ACUGGAAGUCAGGAGGCUGGAUGUCUAGUUUCAGCCUGGUUAUCACCUAGGCAAUUCCUUGAGCCACCAAGUGCCUCAGUUUCCCAGCCUACAAAAUGAAAGCGUGGCCUAAUUUACCUGGAGGCUUCUACCUGGCUCUAAUGGUGAUUCUGGGCAUGGGUUGGUUCCACAGAAGUGUGGCUUUUACCCAGAGUUUAUUUGACAGUUACUGAUGAAAUCUCAUGCCUAUUUUAUUUUAUUUUUUCUGAUAGAUAUCAUGGGAAUUUCAGGUGAUACUUUGGAAACGUACCAAGUAAGGUUAAAGAAUGGUUUAAACACAGCUCCUAGCCCCAAGCUAUAAACCACUUAGUAUAUGGCAGUUUUGCAAGAGCAAUAAAGAGUCUACACUUUUAGGUUAAUAAUUAGGGAUAAUGUUAUGAGAAAGGGCAAAGAGAUAAGAGAGCCCAAGAGCACAGGACCAUCGGGAGCCUCUGGCUGUCCCAGGAUGUACAUGUGCCUCUCAGCCUGGCUGGCAAACCUCCUAUUUCUCUGGGUUUUCCCUUUGUGCUCAAUGUCCUCAGACUAUAAAAGGCAAGAACAUCCGAAGUCAAUCCACACUCCACGCAUCUGGCUGGCACUGCACUCAUGGCGGGGCCUUGAGCACCGAGGAUACACGUGCUUGCUGUCAUUACCGUCAGCUGUUGGCUCUGAGCGCCCUGGCAGUCUCCGGGACGAUGUUUCAGCACAGACCUCCGCGUGUGCUUUCAGAGAGUCAUUAGAGAAGAGCGAUAACCUCGAGCAAACAAAAAGCAGAUGGCUCUGGAGCAAAACUAAACUUUGCGUAGAAAGAAAGAUUUGAAGAAGGUCAAGGAGAUGGGGGGACUUACUGUGAGCCGAAGAGGUACAGCCUGGAAGCAUUCACUCAUCCGGACUCUUGGCAGAGCGCUCCUGCUGGGUAUAUCCUCCUACCAGCCUUCCUGUCUGCUAUGUGAGCCUUUGGGUCAGUUUCCAAUGGGCCAAGCUGCCCACAUCAGCUCCUGGUCCUCAUUGUGCUUCCACGUUGGUCUCGUUGGUCUCUGAAAGGAGAACUAAUGCCGCUUUCUGUUUGGAGUCUAAGUUUGGUCUUAUUAGCCUGUUAAUGCCACUGCUGACUCUAGCCACCUCUCCCAACAAUUUAGGAAGUGUUUACUAUAGAGCCCUGUCCUUCCCUCCUCCUUCCGUGAGUGUUUACAGAAUAUCCCUAAGUGCCAUGCGGCAGGCUGCAUUCUCUGCCUGUGUAGACUAUGC
rnacentral:lncRNA from 1 species